ensembl:lncRNA
UGUGAGAGAGAGGUUGAGAGAGAGAUAUCGAGAGAGGUUGAGAGAGAGAGAGAUGGGGAGAGAGAGGUUGAGAGAAAGAUGGGGUUGAGAGAGAGGUUGAGAGAGAGAGAUUGAGAGAGAGAGAGUGAGAUUGAGAGAGAGAGGGAGAGAGAGGUUGAGAGAGAGAGGUUGAGAGAGAUAGGUUGAGAGAGAGAAGUUGAGAGAGAAAGAGAGAGAGUUUGCGAGAGAGAGAGAAAGAGAGAGAGGUUGAGAGAGAGAAAGAGAGAGGUUGAGAGAGAGGAUGAGAGAGAGAGGGAGAGAGAUAUCGAGAGAGGUUGAGAGAGGGAGAGAUUGAGAGAGAGAGAGGUUGAGAGAGAGAUUGAGAGAGAGAGAGAUAGGUUGAGAGAGAGGGAGAGAGAGGUUGAGAGACAGAGAGAGGUUGAGAGGUUGAGAGAGAGAUUGAGAGAGAGAGAGGUUGAGAGAGAGGUUGAGAAAGGUUGAGAGAGAGAGAGAGAGAGAGAGGUUGAGAGAGAGGUUGAGAGAGAGAGAGAGAGAUUGAGAGAGAGAGAGAUAGGGUGAGAGAGAGGGAGAGAGAGGUUGAGAGAAAGGUUGAGAGAGAGAGGUUGAGAGAGAGAGGUUGAGAGAGAGAGAGAGGUUGAGAGAGAGAGAUUGAGAGAGAGAGAGAGAUUGAGAGAGAGAGGGAGGGAGAGAG